UGGUGUGUUUGGACAUUCAGUGUUUGCCUU
rnacentral:piRNA from 1 species